CACAUUACCAAUCCUCCGUGAGCUGCAGCUUCUGCAUCCGUAAAAUGGAGAAAAUAACAACCAUACCUACCACACAGGGUUCUUAAAGAAAGUCUUCUUCUAAGAGUUCGUGCUAGAUCUUAUUGGCCUCCAGAUAUCCACGACCGGAAGGAACCCUCUCCAUUUAAGACAAGAAUUCUUUUUCCUUUGGGAAGGCCAAGUGAAGCAAAUGGUGAUCCCAGGCAGUGAUAUCUGCAACCCAGAGGCUUAAUCCUGACGAGGCUGAUGAAUGUGUGUGUCGAGCUGCUCCUGGCAAACACAGCACCUAUCAGAUAUCACAGCAAAACAACAACAACGACAAAAACAGCUGUUCUUUGGAGUCAGUUUGUUCCUCGUAGGAGGGGUCUAGGUGGAAGGGGCUGACUUUCAAGCCGAGGCAGUGACUUCUGGGUCAGAUGUGUGUCUGGGACACAGGGAUGGGGACAGGAAUGUGUCUGGGAGGGUGGGCAGGGCUUGAUGUCUUUGGAACCAAGCUCCAGAAGGGCAAGGCACCCUCCUGGGGUUAUGACUGGGCCUGGUGAUGGCAACGAGGAAGGGUGUGUUUGCCAUUGAAGUAUUUAAGCAUUGUCUCACCAGUCAGAAAACAAGACUGGCUUGUUGCUUCAUCCUAGCCCAGGGCCCUUCAAACUCAGAUCUCAGCAUGACCCACUCAGGGAACUGUUCUGAAUUUCUCAGUAGGCGACGUCCAGCCCAACUAGCAAGUCUCCCAACCGUAUUACUGAUUUUGAGAAUUAAAAAAAAAAGUUUCUCUUUAUUUUUGGCAGUUGAAUUUGGAUUUCAUUACAAUGAUCGACUUGAAAUACGUGCCUGAGUGUGGCUCUUGUACCACCUACAGCAGAAUCGCCUCAGGGGAGGGGCGUUGAAAAAUGCAUACUUUCCCCAGUCCCAUACCAGACACACGGAAUGUCUAUUAAAAAUGUUUAAAAAGAUCCUCCAGGGUGAGGCUGAGAAUGUGUCUUUGUAAGCCAAUUUCUGGGACUGGACGGGAACAGAUUUGCCUGACUGCCCGCUAAACCCAAAUCUGAGUUAAUUUGUCGAGCGGGGAGACCCUUGGUUCUAGGAGACUCAGUUUCUCCUUCUGACAGAGGCAGGUUCUGUCCCCACCUGUUGCUAGGCUGCAGGAAGAGGAAAUUAAUAAAUGCAAAGUGCUGGGGAGAGCGCUGCUGCCAGGCUGGGAGAGAAGAGAAGCUCUUACCUCUCCCACACCAGGCUCUCCCUGGUAACCCCGCAGCCGCCCCUCUCCACAGCCCCAUGGGCGGCGGCCCCUUU